GACGAACGCUGGCGGCGUGCUUAACACAUGCAAGUCGAGCGGUAAGGCCCUUUCGGGGGUACACGAGCGGCGAACGGGUGAGUAACACGUGGGUGACCUGCCCUCAGCUCUGGGAUAAGCCCGGGAAACUGGGUCUAAUACUGGAUAUGACUCCAUGACGCAUGUUGUGGGGUGGAAAGCCUUGUGCGGCUGAGGAUGGGCCCGCGGCCUAUCAGCUUGUUGGGGGGUGAUGGCCUACCAAGGCGACGACGGGUAGCCGGCCUGAGAGGGCGACCGGCCACACUGGGACUGAGACACGGCCCAGACUCCUACGGGAGGCAGCAGUGGGGAAUCUUGCGCAAUGGGCGAAAGCCUAACGCAGCGACGCCGCGUGAGGGAUGACGGCCU
rnacentral:rRNA from 1 species